AACGUAGGAGACAAACGUUAUCCGGAGUUACUGGGCGUAAAGGGCGUGUAGGUGGUUUCGUAAGUCUGGCGUGAAAUUUCUCGGCUUAACCGAGGCAGGUCGUCGGAUACUGCGGAACUAGAGGACGGUAGAGGCGUGUGGAAUUCCGGGAGUAGUGGUGAAAUGCGUAGAGAUCCGGAGGAACACCAGUGGCGAAGGCGACACGCUGGGCCGUACCUGACACUGAGGCGCGAUAGCAUGGGGAGCAAACAGG
rnacentral:rRNA from 1 species